CUUAUAGCCUCAGAAAAAUGAAGCUGCUUGAGGAGACUCAAUAGAAAUUCCAUGAGAAGGGGUAAGUCAGCCCGACUGUGAUUUCAGGAACCAGCUUGUGUGUUUUCUGAGCAGUCAGGGAGACAGAGGGAGGAGCUCAUCCAACACAGCCCUGCAGCCCUUGCUUCCCAGGCAAUUAGGAAAACACAGCCACCAGUUCAAGGAAGGCUUCUGGAAGGAGCCCUUGAGACCAGCGCUUCAACUUGGUGACUCCCCUACAGCCAGGGUCCAGCAUUUUGUCUCUGGGUAGUCGGUGCCAUCAGCCCCCGCAGCUCCCCAGCAUCAACACAGCGAAACCUUCCCUGCCUUGCAGCUUUCAGUAAUUACCAUUUCAUCUGUCUUCCACGAGCUGAAUUCUCCUGUCUGUUUGACAAGGAGUUGCUUGAGAACCUGUUAUUUUCAUCAAUGAAAAUAAACUGUGUGCAGCUUCAGCUUAA